CGGCAAUGGAGGAAACUCUGACCGAGCAACGCCGCGUGAACGAUGAAAUAUUUAGGUAUGUAAAGUUCUUUUAUUAAAGAAGAAAAAAUGAUGGAAAAAUCAUUCUGACGGUAUUUAAUGAAUAAGCCCCGGCUAACUAUGUGCCAGCAGCUGCGGUAAUACAUGGGGGGCAAGCGUUAUCCGGAUUUAUUGGGCGUAAAGGGUGUGUAGGCGGUUUAAUAAGUCUAUGGUAUAAGUUCAACGCUUAACGUUGUGAUGCUAUGGAAACUGUUUGACUAGAGUUGGAUAGAGGCAAGUGGAAUUCCAUGUGUAGCGGUAAAAUGCGUAAAUAUAUGGAGGAACACCAGUAGCGAAGGCGGCUUGCUGGGUCUUAACUGACGCUGAGGCACGAAAGCGUGGGGAGCAAACAGGAUUAGAUACCCUGGUAGUCCACGCCGUAAACGAUGAGUACUAAGUGUUGGGUUAAACCAGUGCUGAAGUUAACACAUUAAGUACUCCGCCUGAGUAGUACGUACGCAAGUAUGAAACUUAAAGGAAUUGACGGGACUCCGCACAAGCGGUGGAUCAUGUUGUUUAAUUCGAAGAUACACGAAAAACCUUACCAGGUCUUGACAUACUCUGCAAAGCUAUAGAAAUAUAGUGGAGGUUAUCAGGGAUACAGGUGGUGCAUGGUUGUCGUCAGCUCGUGUCGUGAGAUGUUGGGUUAAGUCCCGCAACGAGCGCAACCCUUAUCGCUAGUUACCAUCAUUUAGUUGGGCACUUUAGUGAGACUGCCAAUGAUAAAUUGGAGGAAGGUGGGGAUUACGUCAAAUCAUCAUGCCCCUUAUGACCUGGGCUACAAACGUGAUACAAUGGCUGUUACAAAGAGUAGCUGAA
rnacentral:rRNA from 1 species